GACGAGGAGCAGACUUCAUAAUUGAAGGUUUUCUCGUCGUCACCGUGCUUGUGAUUUCUCGUUCCCCCAAGAAAUAGGAGUCAAAUCUCCAUCGUAUCGAAACCCACGAGCGUCUUUAACAGUAAAUGGCUAUGGUCUCUAUGACAACGGCGACGAUGACGCAAGCGAGAAAAUUAACAACGAUUGAAGAUUUUUGUGCACAAAAAGUGUACUUGUUUCAAAGGACAAAAGACGACGGUGACUGGUGACUGACUGCUGACUGGAGACUGGAGAAUACUAUACAGCGAAUGGCUAGAAAAUAUUUUAGUAGGUUAUCGAAAAGAAAAUAAGUGAGGCCUUAUUCUAAGACGCUGGUAGUGGGAGGCAAGAUUUCAAAGGAUGUGACAGCAAUGUUUGGGUUUAGUAUACCACUCACUCACUUGGAAUUGGCUGAGAAUGGCAGAUGGAUUAUAAGGUGGUGAAUUGGCGGAACAUCAGAGAGAGCAUCAUUGGCGCAUCAGACAGAAUAUGGAGUGCAUUCCAGACGUUUUCAAUUUUUUUUUCUCAGGGGACUAUACGGACGUGAACGAGUAAACGUACAAACGCACGAAGCGAAAAUGUCGGAGUAGAGAUGGAUUCAAUGAACUACUUCGAACAAAUACAGGGUGAGCCAAAAGUAGCUAUACACUUUGAAAUAUUUUUCAUUUUAUUACUUUUACACUCAUUUAUUACAAUUACAUUUAUGAAACACAGUUUAAUCUCGCAAAUGUUGAAAUGUCCUCCUUCAACAUGGGAACAUUCAUCAAACGUCCCAGAACACCGUAACACACAGCACAUUAUUCACGGUACUUGUAAAAAACAAAUAAGUUAAUUUUAAAAGUGUUUACCUACUUUGGGC
rnacentral:lncRNA from 1 species